AGCGAACGCUGGCGGCAGGCCUAAUACAUGCAAGUCGAGCGGGUGUAGCAAUACACCAGCGGCAGACGGGAGAGUAACACGUGGGAACGUGCCCUUCAGUUCGGAACAACCCAGGGAAACUUGGGCUAAUACCGGAUACGUCCGUAAGGAGAAAGAUUUAUCGCUGAAGGAUCGGCCCGCGUCUGAUUAGCUUGUUGGUGAGGUAACGGCUCACCAAGGCGACGAUCAGUAGCUGGUCUGAGAGGAUGAUCCGCCUCACUGGGACUGAGACACGGCCCAGACUCCUACGGGAGGCAGCAGUAGGGAAUAUUGGACAAUGGGCGCAAGCCUGAUCCAGCCAUGCCGCGUGGGUGAUGAAGGCCCUAGGGUUGUAAAGCCCUUUCGGCGGGGAAGAUAAUGACGGUACCCGCAGAAGAAGCCCCGGCUAACUUCGUGCCAGCCGCCGCGGUAACAC
rnacentral:rRNA from 1 species